CUGGGCGCUGGGGAAGUCUGUUGACAAAGCCACCAGCUGUCCCCAGUUGGAGCCAAGGGAGACAGACUCCUCCCCGAACCACCACCCACACUGGGAGAGUGUUCCUACCAGGACCCAGCCAGCAACGGAACUUGGACCAUCAUGAAGCCUCUGAUCACGGGCUCCAACCGACCUCCUCUCCAGCUGCCACACUAACAAGAGCAAUGGCACAAGACCUCACUCACCCAGCAAGUGCCAGAGGCAGCAAGGGAACAGAAGGCGAGAGUAAAGGAGCGGUGCCUGAGCGUGUCCUUGAAGCUGCAAAGCUAGAGGGAUGUCCAGGGCAUGGAGGACAGCAUGGAAAUGGCAGGAGUAAUGGAGUAGGUGUUCACAUGGAAUAUUCACCAAGGGAUGGUUCAAGUCCACAC
rnacentral:lncRNA from 1 species